rnacentral:lncRNA from 1 species
GACAAUGCAUAGACCGGUACAUACUAUGUCCGCUUCAAUUAGAAGGAUGGAAGGUCUCAUCCCAUUCGUGUAGUGACACUAAGACAAGUAUGUAGGUGCUCAUUAAGGGAAUGAGUUCACUGAACACAAUCGAACGAGAGUACUUGCAUAGAGGUCUACUCACAUGUCAAGCAAGUAACUCUAAUGGUUGGAAUAAUGUAAGUAGUCCUUUGACCUGAGGCAUCAUCGUUGUCUUGUGGUUAAGUACUUGAUCUUUGAUUAUGUCAAAGUCACUCCAUCCGCGGGUGUCCACGGCAUAGUCGGGGUUAAGCCACUUAGUCAUGAAGGCAAGUGAAUGCGCAACAAUGAAUCUCUAAUCCUCGUUAAGAGAGGAUGAAUACUCUAAGAUAUGAUUCUGGAAUCUUCGGCCGAAGUAUCGAGCGUAAUAAAGGAAAGCGUUCCUAUACGACUCAAUUGAAUCAUAUAAGAAGGAAUAAUCACAUUAGGGGUUUGACAUAAUAUAUCCAUACCCUAGUGAUGUGAUUGAGAGUAUUGUUUUAGAGAAGGAUCGAAUUACAUUGUAAUUCCAACUGAAUAGGUUCUCCGAACAACUUCUACAUUAGCUUGGGUAGCCAUGAUAUAUGGUUAGAUGUCACUCAUGGCUUGUGAGUUCUUCUAGAUGAUUAAAUGUAGUCGUCAAAGAAGAAGGUGAAUUAAAAGUAAGUUUUAAUUCACUAAGUGAUUGGAUUAAAUAUAAUCAAUUGGAUUGGUGCCAAUCACCUCACUGCCUUGCUAAUUAGAACCUAAAACGAUUGUUCACCAAUACACUCUUGUAGUGAGUAAUUAAUGGAUGAUGGAAAUAAUUAAUUGGAUUAAUUAAGUGUUGUGAUUAAUUAGAAAGUCAAAAGAAAUCAUAAAAGCGAUAUUAGAUCGUUUUGGGCUUAAAGAAACGUUUGGGUUUAAUUGGGCCCAUUGGGCCUAAACCCAUUGGGCUUUUAUUCAAGCAUUGGAUGACUUGAAACAAAUAAAAGCCCAAAGCCCAAACAACACAAAGGGGCCAGCCAAAGGAGGGAGAGAAAGGUCAAAUGUUGACUUGUUUCUUUUUGGCUAUAAAAUGAACUUUAUAGCAAAUGUUUCAUUAGGGUUUUUGGAAGUGUUAAAAGAACAAAAGAGAAAAAGAAAAAUAUCUCUCUAACACUCAAAAGGCCGGCCACCAUAGGGGGAUUUAGCUAAUCAUCUUUUCACCCCUUUGGUUAUUCCUUCAUCCUUCUCACUACACUAGUGGGUGAGGAUCUUUAGAGGUUUUCAAUUUUGGAAACUUGAAGAGAACCUAGGAGCACUCAUUCUAAACAAAGUGGAGGAGGCAAGGAAGGAGGCUAGGCUCAAGGAGUUCAAGGAGCAAAGGGCUUGGAGGUGGUCCAUCCUUGGUCUAAGAUCUAGAUCAAGAGGUAUAAAACUACUCCUAAACUUUGUUCUUAUAUAAAUUUGUUUUUGAUGCAUCUUACAUAAAUUUAUGCAUCUUGAAGGGGAUUUGCAUGACUAUUGCUUUGAUAUUAUUUGAUAACAUGCUUCCGUUGCUUUCGUAUAUAAAUUUUGAAUUGUAUAUGCAUGCUAGUCACUAAAAAUCCCACAUGAAAUCUCAUGGUAUUCCCUUCAAGUGGUAUCAGAGCCAAAGGUUUAUGUAUGAUGUGUCCUUUUGGAUUUUAUGCAUAUAGGUUUUAAUUUUAUGUAUGACAUAUUAUUGCUUCAUUCAAAGUAUGUUUAUCUUUUGUUUUCAAUUGUUGAAAAAUGUAAAUCAAUAGUUGAGAAAGAUAUGUAUGCAAAAAGUGUUUUGGAUGCAUGAAUGAAGAAUGAGUUUAGAACAAUUUUUGGGGUUUUGAGUCAUAGGGAGGGCACGGCAAAAGGGGUUUUUGGCUAUGUGUUUGUGUUUUUAUUUUGAAUCACACACACACACACUUUAAAGCUAGAAAGUAGAAAUCUUGUCACUUUUGUUUUUGGGUUUGAAAAAUCACCAAGAAUAUACAAAUCUUGAAAAUGUAUUCAUGGUUUUGUUCUUGGUGUUCAUGGUUUAGUUUUUGGUGAAAAUGGUUUUAUUUGUUUCUUAUGCAUUGUUUUGUGGUUUUGGAUGAUGUACAAUCCAUCCAUAGCCAUCUCAAAAUUUAUUCAAACCUAGACUAGUCUAGUGAAAUUUCCAUCACCCUUUUCACUAAAGUCCUUAAAGCAAAACCAAGUGACAAGCAAAAUUUAAUUUUUUUUCUCUACUUUGUGUUGGUUCAAUGCAAGAUGUGUGAAACCUCCCAUCCCCAUUAUGUUGGCCGGCCACCCUAGUGGAUUACCCACUUGUGGGGCUUUUUUGUAAUGUUAAAAGGGUUGUUUAUACUUUCAAGUAUUUACGGUUUGACCCCUAACUUUUCAUAUUUGCAUUUGGGCCCCUACUAUUUGAAAAGUUGAAAUAUUUGAUUUUAAUUUUAUUAGUUGUUUAAACUCAUAAUAAUAUUAUGCCCAUAUGCACUAAAUCUAAAUGUUUAUGUUGCAUUCCAUAUGAUUAUUUAAUGUGAUUAAGUAGUUAGAAUAAUGGGUGACUAUGGACUUAUGCUUUAAACGAUAAUUGAGCUAUGAGAUAAGGCGCUAAACUCAAAUUGUUUGAACCUUGGGAAUGUGUUUUAAUUACUGUUUCAAUUGGACCUUGUCACGUUGGACAUUAAUCUAUCUCUCCCUCUUAGUAUGUGUAAUUUGUAGGAAUGUGUACAAAUCGGUUUGUAAUUCUUAUUACUUCUUAAUCUCUUUUAGUUAGUUGAUUCCCUCUAGUGCUAGACUAGAGUUUCUUUAACUAUUGGUAAGGAGACAUAACUAAAAUAGGGUUUUGACAUGAGAUUAAAGAUUAAAUGGGUCCAACGCCCUAAUUAGCAAUGAAUGAUUGUCUUUCAUUUCUAAUGGCUCAAUGAAAAUGUUUUAAUUGGAUUGAAAAGCACGUAAUUAAAUUGACACAACCUCCCCGAGUUCUUAUUCAACAAUGUUGGCUUGUUGUUGAAUUAACCCAAUAAGUCCAUGGUCAUCCAAAGAGCCUAAGAUAACUAUAAAGUCCAAUUUCAAAGGAAUGCAAAAACCAUAGUAGUAGUAGUUACUUCCAAUAUUUGAAAAAUUCGUUUUUGAUAUUGAUUUGUUUUUCUCAAAACAAAUAGUAGGAGUAUCAUAUGCUACUAAACCAUAAUGAACUCAAUUAGUAGUUAUAUAUAUCUCCAAUAUUUUGAAAAAUGUUUUGAUAUUGAUUUGUUUUAUGAAAACGAAUAGUGGGGAUAUCAUAUGCUACUAAUUUCAUUAACUCUGGACUAGUAGUUAUAAUAGGACACAAUUUAUUUGAAUGUGAUUAAAUAAAUAAAAAUUGAUGAGACCUUAAAAUCCCUCAACCAACAUACAAUAUUAAGUUGAAAGCGUAAGAGUGCUUUGAACACUUUUUCGUGGCCUUCCACCGUGGUAGGCUCCAAUCGUUUAUGACUUGUACACCGCCUUCACCCUAUCAUGGGGGAGUGCAAAGUGCAUGCUUAUACUCAGGAGGAGUUUAUUUAAAACAUUUGAUGAGGUGAAGGUAGGCAACGAGUGUGGCCAAUAUCGUAUCAUCGUGAGGUCAUACUUGGACCCCUAUCUAAACCGGCAUGGUGGGAAAGAACUUAACUAAGAAAAAUGGUGCCAAUAUCGUAUCAUCGUGAGGCAUUGUUUUCUAGAGGCCAAAAAGAUGGGUAAUCACAAGAGGUUGUUGUGAAUGGGUAAGUGUACCCUCUCAUUAUUAUUUUUGCUAGCCAAUAUCGUAUCAUCGUGAGGUGGGCUUGGUAAUAGUGAGCCUCCCAUAACCCGCUAGGAGCUUUCAUUGAAAUCUCCCAAAUUCCAUCUUGAGGGAUAUGGAAUUUGCCAAAAAUGGUGGGUGGUGUCAUUCGGUUUAAAGACCCGAAUCGUUUGACUUAAUCAACAAUCAAACUAAUUAUUUUAUUGUUUAUGUAUUUAGAUAUGGUUGGAAGCACACUCGCGAAAAUACUCGACAAACAUUGCCUAGAGGGGCACAAUUUCCCAUCAUGGUAUCGUAAUGUCAAGAUUCUCCUAACAUUGGAGAAGAUUGUUUACGUGCUAGACAAGGCCCCACCUCACAUACCUCUCGGCCCUGAGGCCACUGAGGAUGAACGUGCUAAGUAUGACAAGCACGUUGAGGAUGACACACAAGCCAAGUGCUAUCUGUUGGCUUCCAUGAAUGAGGAGCUACAGAGAUAGCACGAGGGCAUGGACAGUGCAUCUUCCAUCAUACUCCAUCUUACGGAGUUAUAUGGUGAAGGGACACGCAACCGUCGCUUUAGCACUGUCAGUGAACUUGUGAAGACCAAGAUGGUCAAGGGGGCUCCAAUGCAUCAACAUGUACUGAAGAUGAUAGGACUCAUUGAACAAUUGGAGAACCUAGGUACUCCACUUGAUGGGGAAUUGGCCCAGGACUUCAUUUUGGCUUCUCUUUCUGAUUCAUUCUCGCAGUUCGUUAUGAACUACAAUAUGAAUAAGAUGGAUAGUACUCUCUCUGAGUUACUAAACAUGUUAGUAACUGCCGAGAAGACUAUGAAGAAAGAGAACGUUGUAGGGACUGCUGCAGUAGCCUACAACAAGCCAUCCUCUUCCAAGGCUAAGCCGCAAGGCAAAAGCAAAGGGAAGGAGAAGAAGUCACCCACUCCUAAGCCGCAAGGAUGAGUGAGGAAAAAGAAGGCAAAGGAGCCCAAGAGGACUUGCCACCACUGUGGAAAGGAAGGGCAUUGGAAAAGGAAUUGCAGGUUAUACCUUGCAACUCUUAAGGACAAGCCACAAAGUAUGGUUUAUGUUCUUAUCUUCAAUUCUAAAUGUUAGAUCUUCUAAACCUUUAUAUUUGAUAUAAAGGGCUAAUCACUUGUAUAUUGUAUAUAGGUGGAGGAGCCAAGUAAGAUGAACAAGCAAGGAAAAGGUUGGAGAAGGGUUCGGCCACCAUAUUUUUUGCUAACUACUUAGGAAGUUUGUUAGGCACUUAAAGAUAGUCUUUAAACUUUCUUAUUUUGUUAAGAACUUAUUAUGUGGCUUCAUAUGAUGGAAGACCACUAUUGGUGCCUAAAUGAAGGUAUAUAAUUAGUCUCUAAAUGUAUAGAGCUAAUUCUUUUUGUAUUAAACAUUAUGAAUGUUUGAAUUAUCAUAUCAAUGUAAUGUGAUGAAUGCCUUCUAAUAUAUUAUUUCCUUAAAGUAGUGUUAUGAAUUGAAUAUUGUCUUGUUGUAUCCUAGUUGAGAUACAAGAUUUAUAUCACUUAUUGUAAUGUGAUGACCAAACUUUAGACUUAUCAACUAUGGAUAGAUCUCACAUGUAGGACAUAAAAGGAUACAAUGAAUCUUUAGAUUUGGUUCCAAUUGUCUACCUAUGAGUUCUAUAUGAAUUGACAAAGGUCUAGAGAUUCCUUUCUUAAAGAAAAGGAAGAUCACAUUAUGAUGAUAUAAGUAAUAAGAAAAACGUUUCUUAUAUGAUUAUCACUUAAACCACAAUAAUCAAAGAUCACUCUUGAUUCAAUUAGUAGUUUUGAACAACUAAUUGGGCAUUCUUUAAAUUGUUUUAAAAUGUCAAUUGUGUUAGUGAUUAAACCAAGAAAGAAGUGUCUAAAUCUAUAAAAUGUUUAAAGACUUUAGUCACUUAAUAACGAGACAUUAACUUAGUGAAGAUUGAAACAAACGAGCUUGAAAGGUUUUAAAGCUACUACACAAUGUCUUCUACCCGUAUACUCCACGUUUAUACAUUUUGAAUGUAUGAAGUGAUUUCUCAUUAAAGUCAUGAGAAAUAGUGGGAGGUGUGAAAAUGGAUAUAAACUUGAAUAUGAUUGGUUUAUAGUUGUCUAAAGAAUAAUAGUACUUGACUAUUAUUAAGAGUUUGUAAUUUUAAUUGUUAAAGGACUCAAGCUCUUCAAACGUUAAAAUUUUAUGUUGUGUAACAUUCUAAAGAAUAGUCUUUGAAUGUUGGUUUCGUCAACCUAACAUAAAAUGGUUAUAUGUUGGGAGUUGUCCAUCUUUCUCUUUUAUGAGAACAAGCUAAUAACAAAGCCCAUGGACAAAUUUGAUGAAACAAAAGGGAAUAGUUUCAAAAUGAGUCACAACAUAUAGUUUAACAACAAGACAAUCCAAAUUCGACAUCUUAUGUAACUAUAACGCUCUAUGUAGUUUUGAUAAAGAAUUAUAUCAACCACAAAGAAGGAAUGGUUGAGUUUCUAUAUCCUUAGUAGGAGCCAUGCUUCCACUAAAGACUUGGAUAAUUCUUAUAUGACUACAUUAAAGGUCUUAGUAUGACUAAAACUUGUAGUAUGGUGUAUGACACCAUAUAAUUUAAAUGAAUAGACUUGACAAAGCAAGUCACACAUUUCAAAAGGAAUUACUUGAGAAGGAAUUCUUUUGUGUAUGAUUCGUUUAAAUAACUUGUGUUAGCUAGAGUUGUUGAUAGUCUCAAAAUAGUUGAGACAUCAUCAAUAAGCUAAUGGAUCUUAAUGAUUGUCAAUAGAUCCAAGACAAGUUAGUGGGAGCAAUAUGCAUUCAAAUCAAGAAAAUAUAAUUGUUAAGUUUUUUGAAUGAAUGCUAAGUUACAACAAGGCCAGUGGGAGUGAUGUCAUAAUUUGAGCAACAAGAUAUGAAUAAAGUCUAUAUGAUAGACUUGAUAGAACAUAGAUGUUACUCGAAAAUUGACAAAACAUGACACGGUCGAUUUUGAAGUAUAGACUUGAAAUUGGACUUAUUGAUAUAGCAAGGCUAUCUCAAGAAUGUUAAAUGGGGAAAUUAAAUCUCAAAUGUUGAAGAUUUAAGAAAGCAUUUUCCUAUAUGAUAGAAAAUCACUUUCGUAACCCUUAUAAUGAAUGUGUCACAAAAUCACAAAAGGGACACAUGUAUGGACUUGUGAGUAGAUAUCCAAAAGUGAAGAACCACAGGGGUUGUCACUUUAAGAUAUUACUAUAUCCCAGGAUCAGAACCAAAGCAACUGAUAGAGUAUUAUUGCCUUUAAGAAAGGAACAUCAGAGUGGGACUCUGGAAGCGUGCAUUCACUUAGGUUAUAAACCAAAGUGAAAAUAAGCCUUUUUAACAAAUGGAACUUCAUAAUGGAUGAAGUACUAAUCAUAUGAAUGUAUUGUAAGUAUUGUACUACAAUGGUCUCAAGGUUGGAGCAAAGUUUGUAUAAUGUAUAUAACCGAAAUAUAUGACGAUAUAUUGUUUUAGAAACUGCUUCAAAAGGUGUUUUGAAUGGAAGGGGUUCUUUUAGAACCAAUGAUUGAAUCCAAACCAUAAGGUCGUGAGUAGGACACUACGAGGCAAUGGGGCGAUAGCUCAAGCCAUGGAAUCAAGGUCUCAUCAAAGUAUUCGAACACAAGAAAGAGACAUCAUCAAAUGUUUUGGAAACAUUUGAUAAGUGAAUCCCUUUUAAAUAAAAAGGAUUAAUACAUAACCAAGUUAACCUACGAGCAUAAGCUCUCUCAACUAGAAUGUAUAAGAUACACUAGUGAUUGACUUUAGUGCAAGUGGGAGAUUGUUGGAAAUAUGCCCUGAAAGUCAAUCUUUGGAAGAAACCUUUCAGGACAAUAAAUGGAUGUAUAGAUGACUCUUAUAUAUCAAAUGGCAAAGAUACUAUUUAGGACUAUCUCUAUAAACGAUAUAUGUCCUAAAUAGUGAAUCCAUGGACAAUGGAUCGAUUGAAGAAGUAAUCUAAUGAAGUUAAACUACAGAGACCUUCUUCACAUAACCAUCAUGUCCACAAGGUUCCUGGUCAUAGGAUUGUUGGAGGGAAACUGACAAUGCAUAGACCGGUACAUAUUAUGUCCACUUCAAUUAGAAGGAUGGAAGGUCUCAUCCCAUUCGUGUAGUGACACUAAGACAAGUAUGUAGGUGCUCAUUAAGGGAAUGAGUUCACUGAACACAAUCGAACGAGAGUACUUGCAUAGAGGUCUACUCACAUGUCAAGCAAGUAACUCUAAUGGUUGGAAUAAUGUAAGUAGUCCUUUG